rnacentral:rRNA from 1 species
CGACCACAGUGGGCCUGAAUAAAGCCCAUGACGAUUGUCACAGCAGAGAGGAAUAUUGGUCAAAAGCCUAACGGCUGAACCAGCAACUUGGAGGAAUGUAUAGCAAUAGCUACUUGCAUCAUUGCAAAUGUGAUGCAAGAUCGACUAUGUCGAAUAAAAUUCUAGGUAGAAUUAUGAUAAUGACAUUGUCUGCCUAUGUGUCUUGACCAAAUUACGUGCCAGCAGUCGCGGUAAUACGUAGAAGACUAGUGUUAUUCAUGUUUAAUCGGUUUAAAGGGUACCUAGACGGUAAAUCAAGCCUAAAAGGAAAUAAAUAAAGGGACUAAUUUACUAGAGUUACUUAUGAGGGGGUAUUAAAGUACUGCUGGUGUAGAGAUGAAAUUCUGUCAUACCUCUUUUCAAUAGAAAAGUAAUGGGCACAGGUAUAGGCGAAGG